GACGAACGCUGGCGGCGUGCUUAACACAUGCAAGUCGAACGGAAAGGCCCUGCUUUUGUGGGGUGCUCGAGUGGCGAACGGGUGAGUAACACGUGAGUAACCUUCCCUUGACUUUGGGAUAACUUCAGGAAACUGGGGCUAAUACCGGAUAGGAGCUCCUGCUGCAUGGGGGGGGUUGGAAAGUUUCGGCGGUUGGGGAUGGACUCGCGGCUUAUCAGCUUGUUGGUGGGGUAGUGGCUUACCAAGGCUUUGACGGGUAGCCGGCCUGAGAGGGUGACCGGCCACAUUGGGACUGAGAUACGGCCCAGACUCCUACGGGAGGCAGCAGUGGGGAAUAUUGCACAAUGGGCGGAAGCCUGAUGCAGCAACGCCGCGUGCGGGAUGACGGCCUUCGGGUUGUAAACCGCUUUCGCCUGUGACGAAGCGUGAGUGACGGUAAUGGGUAAAGAAGCACCGGCUAACUACGUG
rnacentral:rRNA from 1 species